GAUGAACGCUGGCGGCGUGCCUAAUACAUGCAAGUCGAGCGAACGGACGAGAAGCUUGCUUCUCUGAUGUUAGCGGCGGACGGGUGAGUAACACGUGGAUAACCUACCUCUAAGACUGGGAUAACUUCGGGAAACCGGAGCUAAUACCGGAUCAUAUUUUGAACCGCAUGGUUCAAAAGUGAAAGACGGUCUUGCUGUCACUUAUAGAUGGAUCCGCGCUGCAUUAGCUAGUUGGUAAGGUAACGGCUUACCAAGGCAACGAUGCAUAGCCGACCUGAGAGGGUGAUCAGCCACACUGGAACUGAGACACGGUCCAGACUCCUACGGGAGGCAGCAGUAGGGAAUCUUCCGCAAUGGGCGAAAGCCUGACGGAGCAACGCCGCGUGAGUGAUGAAGGUCUUCGGAUCGUAAAACUCUGUUAUUAGGGAAGAACAUAUGUGUAAGUAACUGUGCACAUCUUGACGGUACCUAAUCAGAAAGCCACGGCUAACUACGUG
rnacentral:rRNA from 1 species